GCGCGUGCACACGUCACUGCAGCAGGAGCGCAGCGCGCCGUCGAGCACCGCACGUUGUUCUUCUGCCUAGAAACACGUCGCGCCUCCGCGCGGGGAUACCGAUCGCGUGGGCUGCCAUUUCACCGGGGGCGCCGCUCUUCGGUGCAGCGAUGGGAGGAGUCCGUAGCCGCGAGGAGACUUGCGAAGGAGCCCAGGAGGAAAUCCACGGCCAGGCCACGGGUUCUGCCCACGCUUGCGGUGCGUGUCCCACCAUCCACCUGAACGCAGCGGAAGCGGAACGCCCUCCGGAGGCUGCGGUUGAGCUGCCCCAGUGCCAGAUGGGGGGCAAAGCAGUGGAUGAUAUGCGUUUUAUGAUCUCCUGCACAAACUGGUAUUAGGAGCUGUGGGACAGAAGUCCAGAUGUUGGACUCUCACUCCGACACGUUUCCUUAUGGCAUGCUCUGUGUGUGUGUGUGAGAGAGAGAGACAUGUUUCCUUGUGGUCGACUCUGUGUGUGUGUGAUGGGGGUUCUUUCCUCACACGAAUUUAUAAUCCAAACUUAGCCUUGGGAGCCCACAGUGCAUGUGGGCUGUUAUUGAACUGAAUCUGUAAAUUAUGCAAAAUAUCAGAAUUAUGGAAAUGAAAAACAGCCAAAAAACACCCCUUAAAAGUGAUACGUAUCUGUGUAAAUAUGUCACUGCAAUAAAGGUUUUCAACUACUGA